UUUAGAUAUGGAUUGUUUUGUGGAGCUAUCAGCUUUUGUAAUCUGUUUUUUUUAUUAUUUUUUGUUUCUUCAUUAUCUAUGAUUAAGAUCUUUCUAAAACAACUUAAUUAUUAAAAUAGUUGAUGGCUUUCAGUAUAUAAUUAUAUGACAUCAGAUGUUAGCAAUCUAUAUAACUCUUAUCAAGAAUUUUGUUGUCAAUGGAGUGCUGCAUGUAGUCAUGUUUUAAUGCCUCAUUUUCAAUUAACUAGCCUUGCAUCAGUUUGUUGAAAAUUAUGUUCUGUGCACAUGAAGGUUACUGUAUUCUUCUUUGUAGACUAUCAUAAUGUAUUCCUGUCUAAUAGCAUUUUCAAUCUCAUUUUUUGCAGGCAACGACUGUUAGUAGUGGGUG
rnacentral:misc_RNA from 1 species